ACGCUGGCGGCAUGCCUAAUACAUGCAAGUCGAGCGAAUGAUGAAGAAGCUUGCUUCUUCUGAUUUAGCGGCGGACGGGUGAGUAACACGUGGGCAACCUACCCUAUAGAUUGGGAUAACACAGGGAAACCUGUGCUAAUACCGAAUAAUACAUUUUCUUUCAUGAGAAGAUGUUGAAAGAUGGUUUCGGCUAUCACUAUAGGAUGGGCCCGCGGCGCAUUUAGCUAGUUGGUGAGGUAAUGGCUCACCAAGGCAACGAUGCGUAGCCGACCUGAGAGGGUGAUCGGCCACACUGGGACUGAGACACGGCCCAGACUCCUACGGGAGGCAGCAGUAGGGAAUCUUCCACAAUGGGCGAAAGCCUGAUGGAGCAAUGCCGCCGUGAGUGAUGAAGGAUUUCGGUUCGUAAAACUCUGUUGUAAGGGAAGAACAAGUAGCGUAGUAACUGGCGUUACCUUGACGGUACCUUAUUAGAAAGCCACGGCUAACUACGUGCCAGCCGCAGC
rnacentral:rRNA from 1 species